CUGAUCGAUCGCACAAGCAGGGGCCAAGGGUGAAACCCUAGUUUCACCAAUUCCAUCCAAUUGAGAAGGAAAUUCAAAGGAAAAUCGAAUGCAUGAACCCUUAUUUCGAUCAUCAGACCUUGUUCAAUAAAAUGGUAAGUUCAAUUUCGCAUGAAAGAAGAAAGUUCAAGUGCUACGAAGACGGAAAAACGCACAAGAUCGAGGUAAAGCCUCAAUUUAAUCGGUUCGGCGACUUGGAAUGAGCACCCAUAUGUAAUUCGCCUACAAGCGCUUCCGCUACCUUUUGUAACAAAGUCCUGGUCAAAUAUAUUUUGUUGUAGUUAGUUUUGAAUAUUAAUUAAACUUUGAAGUUUGACUUGUUUGGUCUUUUGAAAUUUCUCUAGAUGUCGGUAGUUAUCUAAAACUAUGUUUUGGAUUUGUAAGUCUUUUGAAAGUGUUGUUAAUUACUUGAAAUUACGUUUGUCAAAACAGGGAUUGUUCAUAAGUCAAACGGGUC
rnacentral:lncRNA from 1 species